CUGGCUCAGGACGAACGCUGGCGGCGUGCCUAAUACAUGCAAGUCGAGCGGACUUUCCCUUCGGGGAAGGUUAGCGGCGGACGGGUGAGUAACACGUAGGCAACCUGCCUGCAAGACCGGGAUAACAUUCGGAAACGAAUGCUAAUACCGGAUACGCAGUUUCCUCGCAUGGGGAGACUGGGAAAGACG
rnacentral:rRNA from 1 species